UAGAGUAACGCGUGAGCAACCUGCCUAUGACAGUGGGAUAGCCUCGGGAAACCGGGAUUAAUACCGCAUAAGAUCGUAGAAACACAUGUUUUAACGGUCAAAGAUUUAUCGGUCAUAGAUGGGCUCGCGUCUGAUUAGCUAGUUGGUGAGAUAACAGCCCACCAAGGCGACGAUCAGUAGCCGGUCUGAGAGGAUGAACGGCCACAUUGGAACUGAGACACGGUCCAA
rnacentral:rRNA from 1 species